GAUGAACGCUGGCGGCGUGCCUAAUACAUGCAAGUCGAGCGAACAGACGAGGAGCUUGCUCCUCUGACGUUAGCGGCGGACGGGUGAGUAACACGUGGAUAACCUACCUAUAAGACUGGGAUAACUUCGGGAAACCGGAGCUAAUACCGGAUAACAUGUUGAACCGCAUGGUUCAACAGUGAAAGACGGUCUUGCUGUCACUUAUAGAUGGAUCCGCGCCGCAUUAGCUAGUUGGUAAGGUAACGGCUUACCAAGGCAACGAUGCGUAGCCGACCUGAGAGGGUGACCGCCAACACUGGAACUGAGACACGGUCCAGACUCCUACGGGAGGCAGCAUUAGGGAAUCUUCCGCAUUGGGCGAAAGCCUGACGGAGCAACGCCGCGGGAGUGAUGAAGGUCUUCGGAUCGUAAAACUCUGUUAUUAGGGAAGAACAAAUGUGUAAGUAACUGUGCACGUCUUGACGGUACCUAAUCAGAAAGCCACGGCUAACUACGUG
rnacentral:rRNA from 1 species